AAAAUAGAUUUGGUGCUGAAGAAUCGAUAACUAAAUUGCAUUGAAACCCAAAUAUUAAUGAAUUGAACCGAAAAAUCAUACUGAAUUUUAGUUUGGCUCCGGUUGCAAAACAGUACACCUCUACUAAUGGGUAUUAUAUUAAAUGAAUAAAAACAAACCAAUCAAUAGGUGCUGCCACUGCCACUACUAAUCUAUCACCAAAUGCAUAAAUGGGUAGACUAGAGUU
rnacentral:misc_RNA from 1 species